rnacentral:tRNA from 1 species
GGCCCUGUCGUCCAACCGGCAGGACACCGACCUGAAGAGUCGGGGAUGGCCGUUCGAGUCGGCCUGGGGCCACCA